UACAGAGGGGGCAAGCGUGGUUCGGAAUUACUGGGCGUAAAGGGCGCGUAGGCGGCCUUCUAAGUCGAACGUGAAAUCCCCGGGCUCAACCUAGGAACUGCAUCCGAAACUGAUCACCUUGAGUAGUGGAGAGGAAAGCGGAAUUCCGGGUGUAGAGGUGAAAUUCGUAGAUAUCCGGAGGAACACCAGUGGCGAAGGCGGCUUUCUGGACACUAACUGACGCUGAGAUGCGAAAGCGUGGGGAGCAAACAGG
rnacentral:rRNA from 1 species